AUUGAACGCUGGCGGCAGGCCUAACACAUGCAAGUCGAGCGGAUGAAGGGAGCUUGCUCCUGGAUUCAGCGGCGGACGGGUGAGUAAUGCCUAGGAAUCUGCCUGGUAGUGGGGGAUAACGUCCGGAAACGGGCGCUAAUACCGCAUACGUCCUGAGGGAGAAAGUGGGGGAUCUUCGGACCUCACGCUAUCAGAUGAGCCUAGGUCGGAUUAGCUAGUUGGUGGGGUAAAGGCCUACCAAGGCGACGAUCCGUAACUGGUCUGAGAGGAUGAUCAGUCACACUGGAACUGAGACACGGUCCAGACUCCUACGGGAGGCAGCAGUGGGGAAUAUUGGACAAUGGGCGAAAGCCUGAUCCAGCCAUGCCGCGUGGGUGAAGAAGGGCUUCGGAUUGUAAAGCACUUUAAGUUGGGAGGAAGGGCAGUAAGUUAAUACCUUGCUGUUUUGACGUUACCAACAGAAUAAGCACCGGCUAACUUCGU
rnacentral:rRNA from 1 species